GGGUUGUGAGGUUAAGCGACUAAGCGUACACGGUGGAUGCCCUGGCAGUCAGAGGCGAUGAAGGACGUGCUAAUCUGCGAUAAGCGUCGGUAAGGUGAUAUGAACCGUUAUAACCGGCGAUUUCCGAAUGGGGAAACCCAGUGUGUUUCGACACACUAUCAUUAACUGAAUCCAUAGGUUAAUGAGGCGAACCGGGGGAACUGAAACAUCUAAGUACCCCGAGGAAAAGAAAUCAACCGAGAUUCCCCCAGUAGCGGCGAGCGAACGGGGAGCAGCCCAGAGCCUGAAUCAGUGUGUGUGUUAGUGGAAGCGUCUGGAAAGGCGCGCGAUACAGGGUGACAGCCCCGUACACAAAAAUGCACAUGCUGUGAGCUCGAUGAGUAGGGCGGGACACGUGGUAUCCUGUCUGAAUAUGGGGGGACCAUCCUCCAAGGCUAAAUACUCCUGACUGACCGAUAGUGAACCAGUACCGUGAGGGAAAGGCGAAAAGAACCCCGGCGAGGGGAGUGAAAAAGAACCUGAAACCGUGUACGUACAAGCAGUGGGAGCACAGAGCAAUCUGUGUGACUGCGUACCUUUUGUAUAAUGGGUCAGCGACUUAUAUUCUGUAGCAAGGUUAACCGAAUAGGGGAGCCGAAGGGAAACCGAGUCUUAACUGGGCGUUAAGUUGCAGGGUAUAGACCCGAAACCCGGUGAUCUAGCCAUGGGCAGGUUGAAGGUUGGGUAACACUAACUGGAGGACCGAACCGACUAAUGUUGAAAAAUUAGCGGAUGACUUGUGGCUGGGGGUGAAAGGCCAAUCAAACCGGGAGAUAGCUGGUUCUCCCCGAAAGCUAUUUAGGUAGCGCCUCGUGAAUUCAUCUCCGGGGGUAGAGCACUGUUUCGGCAAGGGGGUCAUCCCGACUUACCAACCCGAUGCAAACUGCGAAUACCGGAGAAUGUUAUCACGGGAGACACACGGCGGGUGCUAACGUCCGUCGUGAAGAGGGAAACAACCCAGACCGCCAGCUAAGGUCCCAAAGUCAUGGUUAAGUGGGAAACGAUGUGGGAAGGCCCAGACAGCCAGGAUGUUGGCUUAGAAGCAGCCAUCAUUUAAAGAAAGCGUAAUAGCUCACUGGUCGAGUCGGCCUGCGCGGAAGAUGUAACGGGGCUAAACCAUGCACCGAAGCUGCGGCAGCGACGCUUAUGCGUUGUUGGGUAGGGGAGCGUUCUGUAAGCCUGUGAAGGUGUACUGUGAGGUAUGCUGGAGGUAUCAGAAGUGCGAAUGCUGACAUAAGUAACGAUAAAGCGGGUGAAAAGCCCGCUCGCCGGAAGACCAAGGGUUCCUGUCCAACGUUAAUCGGGGCAGGGUGAGUCGACCCCUAAGGCGAGGCCGAAAGGCGUAGUCGAUGGGAAACAGGUUAAUAUUCCUGUACUUGGUGUUACUGCGAAGGGGGGACGGAGAAGGCUAUGUUGGCCGGGCGACGGUUGUCCCGGUUUAAGCGUGUAGGCUGGUUUUCCAGGCAAAUCCGGAAAAUCAAGGCUGAGGCGUGAUGACGAGGCACUACGGUGCUGAAGCAACAAAUGCCCUGCUUCCAGGAAAAGCCUCUAAGCAUCAGGUAACAUCAAAUCGUACCCCAAACCGACACAGGUGGUCAGGUAGAGAAUACCAAGGCGCUUGAGAGAACUCGGGUGAAGGAACUAGGCAAAAUGGUGCCGUAACUUCGGGAGAAGGCACGCUGAUAUGUAGGUGAAGCGACUUGCUCGUGGAGCUGAAAUCAGUCGAAGAUACCAGCUGGCUGCAACUGUUUAUUAAAAACACAGCACUGUGCAAACACGAAAGUGGACGUAUACGGUGUGACGCCUGCCCGGUGCCGGAAGGUUAAUUGAUGGGGUCAGCGCAAGCGAAGCUCUUGAUCGAAGCCCCGGUAAACGGCGGCCGUAACUAUAACGGUCCUAAGGUAGCGAAAUUCCUUGUCGGGUAAGUUCCGACCUGCACGAAUGGCGUAAUGAUGGCCAGGCUGUCUCCACCCGAGACUCAGUGAAAUUGAACUCGCUGUGAAGAUGCAGUGUACCCGCGGCAAGACGGAAAGACCCCGUGAACCUUUACUAUAGCUUGACACUGAACAUUGAGCCUUGAUGUGUAGGAUAGGUGGGAGGCUUUGAAGUGUGGACGCCAGUCUGCAUGGAGCCGACCUUGAAAUACCACCCUUUAAUGUUUGAUGUUCUAACGUUGACCCGUAAUCCGGGUUGCGGACAGUGUCUGGUGGGUAGUUUGACUGGGGCGGUCUCCUCCUAAAGAGUAACGGAGGAGCACGAAGGUUGGCUAAUCCUGGUCGGACAUCAGGAGGUUAGUGCAAUGGCAUAAGCCAGCUUGACUGCGAGCGUGACGGCGCGAGCAGGUGCGAAAGCAGGUCAUAGUGAUCCGGUGGUUCUGAAUGGAAGGGCCAUCGCUCAACGGAUAAAAGGUACUCCGGGGAUAACAGGCUGAUACCGCCCAAGAGUUCAUAUCGACGGCGGUGUUUGGCACCUCGAUGUCGGCUCAUCACAUCCUGGGGCUGAAGUAGGUCCCAAGGGUAUGGCUGUUCGCCAUUUAAAGUGGUACGCGAGCUGGGUUUAGAACGUCGUGAGACAGUUCGGUCCCUAUCUGCCGUGGGCGCUGGAGAACUGAGGGGGGCUGCUCCUAGUACGAGAGGACCGGAGUGGACGCAUCACUGGUGUUCGGGUUGUCAUGCCAAUGGCACUGCCCGGUAGCUAAAUGCGGAAGAGAUAAGUGCUGAAAGCAUCUAAGCACGAAACUUGCCCCGAGAUGAGUUCUCCCUGACUCCUUGAGAGUCCUGAAGGAACGUUGAAGACGACGACGUUGAUAGGCCGGGUGUGUAAGCGCAGCGAUGCGUUGAGCUAACCGGUACUAAUGAACCGUGAGGCUUAACCUUACAACGCCGAAG
rnacentral:rRNA from 1 species